AGCUAAAUAAUACAGAGUGAUAUUUGUACCUGCUUCGAAUCCGAAGCAAAAAAUAGUAAUAAAUAAGAAAAAUUACAUUCAAAGUGUAUAUAAUAAUAUAAUAAUUACAUGUCCUCAUAAAUCUUAUGAAUUGUAUCCAAACUUUGUUUGACCUUAUGCAGUUUGUUCUAAAUUACCAUUUAAAUAAAAUGUUAUAAUAAAUAAGACUAUUUCUAGACUUGUACACCUUAAACUAUAUGGGUAUGGCAAUUAAAGAAAUAAUUUAUUGAGAAAAUACGUCUAGUUCCAGUUAUGUCAUUUAUGAUACCUAGAU